GCAAAGCUUCCCUAUGGGAUGGCUGAGGGCAUCCUGGGGAGGGAGCAAGCCCAGGGAGGAGGAGGAGGCAGGCAGGGAGCUCUCUGAGCUGCUGCUGCUGCUGAAGCCGUGCCGGAGUCGUCGAUGUGGCUCCCCAGAGUUAGUUGCUCAGCAACCAGAAUCAAUUAAUAUGCUUUGCAGAAAGUGCAGGGGAAGCCCGUGCUGCUGUCAGUGAGAAGGCAGGAGGCUGAGGGUGACUCAGGAUCCCACCCCAGCCUGACACCCAUUCAGUCCCACCCCAUCCUCUCCAAACCCUGUAUUAGCUACCAUUCUUUAUCUCUUUUUCUUUCCUUACGAUGAUUUAGAGACUGUAUCCCCAAAUCCUUCAGGAAAGGCAGCUGCUUGCUUAAGAACUCCCCUGCUUCGAGGGUUUUGCUUUUAGAUCUCAUUUAGGGUUAUUUCUCAAGCUUCCUCCAAUGCUUUUCUAGAAAUUCUAAUGUUCAUGUUAAUUGGGAAGAGAAAGGGACAGCUGCUGCUUUGAUCAGAUCGUUUAAAAGAUUCCUCAGCAUGAGAAGGGUUGUUUGGUAGCACACAGUUGAGCAGCAGUAAUGAAAAUGCAUCAUGUGUGAACUGGGAAAGUUUUUGUCUCUUCCUUUAUUACAGUCCCUCUGAUGACACCACGAAUCUGGGAAUGAAGAACUUCUUCAUGCUGAUUGGAAAUGGCAUUGCGGAGCUGAAACUUAACUGGAGGAAAUAUAUCUCCUGAAGAAGAAAAUAUAAUGCACUUUAAGGAUCUGGCUUCUGGUGAAAAAUUCAAGCCUAGAGAAAACUUGUCCGCUUUGUUAGGAAGAAUGGGUUGGACAAUUUUCUUCAAUUCCACAGGAUAUCUGAGUGCCAUGCUGAGCUUAAUCUCUGCAGCAUGCUCUGUGCUUCUCAUCUCUUCCUGAUGCACUGCAUGGUCAGCUCUCUAAUUGCAAGCUCCCUGAAGGGCCAUCUUCAGCACUACACAUUGUAUAUCCCUAUAUUGCUGAUACUGAACAUCAGUUCCUACCAGCUCUAUGGUAGAUAUUAUCCUGAAGGGGAGGAUAAAGAAACUGACCACCAAGAUGGUAAUCACUAGUGGAAAUGAAGAAGAUAAAGGCAGUCAAGAAAAGGAAAGCAAAGAAGAAACCAUCUUGGCAAUGCUUGGAAUUAUUGGGACAAUUCUGAACCUCAUUGUGAUCAUUUUUGUGUACAUUUACACAACGUUGUAAACUAGCAGGCAUGCAAAUAGAACAGAUAAAAUGGCCAUUAAGAGUGAUGACAAACAUUGCUGACUAUUGACAAGUUCUUUAAUCAGAAUUGACUCUGUAUUAUAUUAACACAUCAUAAAAGCACUGCCUGCAGGCAGUGAAGGCUGAAGCACAAUUAAUUUAGCAAGACUUCUUCACACAGUAACAAGCUAAACUCUUCUGUCCUACCCUCUUCCUUUCGCUUUGGUUUUCAGUUUUGGGGAAAAAAUGACUGCAAUUAUGUAAGUUGUAGCUUUGAAGAAAUCCACUGGGGUUAUGUUGUUUUAACACAAUUAAAAAAAAAAAAAAAAAAAAAAAAAGAAAGAAAAUAAACUGUACACAAUAUCAAUUAAAAAUGUAUACUGUAUACCUGCAAGGAUUGAACUCAAAGAUAGCUACAUAGCACACAUCACAUGUCCAUUAGGUCAAAUUAUUUUUUCUCUUGGUUUUUCCUUUUACUUACAUUGAAUCUGACAAGCUUUUUGUUUAGAAUGAACAUAUGGUGCAAUCAUGAAAAAAAAAAAAAAAAAAAAAAAAACAAUUCUAUUGAGCAAGAUCUGCCUAAAACUGAUAAAAUGUUGGGAGAAAUACAGUAUGUGGUUAUUUUUCCUUUCUCAUUUGCUUAACAUCUGUGUCUGUUCAUACCAAUGUUUAUAAAUAUAUAUUUUUAAUAAAUGUGCUAUAUUUUUAGCAUGAACCAAACAUUUGGAGACACUUGUAUUCAUGCAGCUAGAUUUUGUUUGAUGAAGUGCCCUUUUUGACAAUGGAUGUUGUUCUUCUCAGCAAUUAUAUAGCAGUCUUGUUUGCAGCCCUCUCACUGUAGUCUGCAGCAAGCUCACAUCAUGCUCAUAUGCAUGACUUGAAGUUGGAAUGUCAGCUGAAAAGCAUUGCUGCUUAAUACGGGAAAUAGCAAAACAUCGUAAGGUGACCUUUGGAGACUGGUUGCAGAAAGAAGGCUCUAUUUAUAGUUUAAAACAAAAAGCGAAUGAAAGGAAUUUUGAGCCAUCUCUCAGGAUACUACAAAAUUCACAGAAUUUACAGCUUUCAGAAUCUGUCACACUCUCUAAGGGCUUAUAGUGAGAGAAGCAAACAAAGAUUUAUAUUGUUGAAAAGAGAAAUGUAAAGAGCUGGUAGAGAGGGGCUUAUGAGAAAUCUAGGCUGUAAAUACAGAGUACAUUUUAAAUGUGAGGUUGAUUAACCCUUCACACUUAUCUGACUUACGCUUUAACUGAGGUUGGUGAAGUGAAAUUCUCUGACUUGUGUUUUUGGCAGGAAUGUACAAUAGAUGGUCACCAUUUUGCUUCAGAGUUCUGUACCUGUAAGUGUAUGAAGCAUUAAAAAUGAGAGACCUCAAUUUUGCCUCAAGCUGCCUAAGUAGUUGCCCGUUAACUCUGACAUAUCUUCUGGAAAAAAAAAAAAAAAAAAAAAAAUUCAAUUACUUGUUUGCUGAGUUGUGGCUUGAAUAGUACCCUCAGAUGAACAAAGGAGAUUGCUGUUGAAGUCAACCGGAGCUGUAGAAAGUCUCACCCUAAAGUCUCAGUAAUUUCAGUGAUAAGUCAUGUGCCUCUGGAACCAGGAAUGAGCCUCUUACUGGUCUCCAGGUGGCUAGGACCAGUCUCAGAAGUACAGAAGUUCACUUAAAAUAUAAUAAGAGCAAGCCUGGGAAACCCUCAGGGAGACCUCUCAUAAAAGAGGUAUGUAGUCUCUUGUGGUAUCACAGUCAAUAAUAAAACCAUUAGGAGGGAAAAGGUCAGUGAAUAAAUUAAAAUGAAAUCCAAUAUGAAAACUGAAGGAAAACAGAGCAAAAAUAAUCUUAUACUUAUGAAAAUAUGACAGGGUGACAGAGGAGAGAAAAAGUGCAGAGUUUUGAACAAACACAGAACUGUGCAGAAAGAGGGAGCCAAGCAUGCCAGGGUGGUUGGAGAAACAUUUGUUGUGUCUGAGCACUGCUGGUAGAGCCACAGGUCUUGGGAAGAGUAAGAAACAUUAGUGGUACAGUUCAGUGGAGCAGAAUGAGAGCAGAAUGAGGCUGAUCAUGCUUUUUUUUUUUUUUUUUUUUUUUUUUUGGUUUUGGUAGUUCUUGACAAUUAGAAAACUCUUCUUUUUGUUUAUCCUGACUGAAAUGUAAAUGGCUAAAACAUCUUUGCCUCCAUCCUGUAGCAAUAGCAUUGUCACCAAGUCCCAGAGCACACCUGCAUAUUCUGCAGGCAUCUGGGCAUGCUCCUCUGCAGAUGUUUCUCUCAAGCAUCUCCUCCUCCUUUUCCAGCAAACACCAAAGCAAUCUGUUUGAGGCUUAUACCCAUCUUCUAGGGGGGAAGCUUGGGAAAGGGCAGAGCCAGGGCUGAGAGAUGAGCUCUGAUGCCUGCUAUUUCUUUGCCUGUCUGCCUCAAGUGAUAAUACCUAUCAUCUUCUUGUGGGCAUGAAGGCAUUUAAUGAAUGAAUGUUCACUAAGUACUUCUUUUAAUAUUGUAAAUAAAACUCUACAUUGUAAAACAACACAUAACACCCCCCAAACUCCAAGUAGAAACUUCUGCUGUUCAUUGCCUUGUGCGCCUUCAGACAUGGACCAGCAUUUUCGCUAAGGCAGACAUGGCAAAUAGCCUAAACAUGCUUAAGCUGAACUGGUAGACUUAAAACCCUAAGGAAACUAUGUUUAUCCUUCCUUUCAUAAGACCAGUUAGAGGAAGAGUUUCCUGCUGUGGAUGUGCUGUACUUUGCCUUAGAGUAAAGGAUCCUCUUUGCCUUAGCAUCCACAGCACAAGCAGGUGUCUGCCACCUUUCACCAGCAGUGUGCUGCAUGCCUGGCCACAGUGCUUUUAUUGCACACUGCAAUAGGAAGAAAGCUUUAUCCCAUACCAUAAAAUGUUCAGCACUUAAUAUUUUAAUUUUACAGGUUUCUGUUCACAGAUAGUUCUAGAAAUAUCCUGGGGCAAGUACUUUUUAAGUAGAUUCAUUAGGUAUUCAUUUAAAUAAAAAUGAAGAGUUUCCUUUGAGGGCAAUUUCUUUGCCUUUUAUUUAGUAUUCAUGAACACUGAUAUGGGAAAAGUAUGCUUUCAAGAAUGACUGUGGAAGGAAAAUAUUUUAUACAAGAACCUGAACAAGUGUCUACCCAGGCAGACGCACACAGGCCUGAUUUCGGCUGGAUGCCAGCUGGAGCCAAAUUACCCUAAUGCUUUUUUAUAUGAGUAGUUGUCAGCAUGCACCUGUAAGAAAUAUUCAACUAGGUAACGCAUAUAUCAUGGAUUCCUUAUAGUCAGUAACUGCAGUAUAAAUAGUUGAAUAAAACUUCUCAUUACAAGUGCUGAAUGGUAUAGCUGCUUUGGCAAGGAAAAAGCUGAUAGUCUCAUUCCUGGCUUGACUUGUAGGUGAUGCAAAUAGUUUCCAAAGUAUUUUUUUAUAUAUAUAAAAUAUUAUUAUAUUAGUGACAGUAACCUUCAUGUUUCAAUUUCAGUAGAAGAAAAUGAAUAUCCAAUAUCUUAAUAAAAUAUGAAAACAACAUCUUUAGCUUUUGUAAACUGAGGAUAUUCUUGCAUUUUAAAUAUGUCUUACUUAGUUUGAUGGUUUGAAUUACGGGAAUGAAAAAUGUUUUCCUGAGGUAAAAUGAAGGUGUCAUUCUCCCUGCUAGUGUCUGGUGCAGCAUUAGCACAGCAUGGUGGGUACAGAAGAAUUCUGAGGAGGAAGAAAACUGUUUAAAGGCCAUAAUGAAUACAGCACAGUGAGGAGAAGGAAGAAAGAUAGGCUACUGCUCUCAUCUCUGGUUCCUGUAGCUGCUACUAAAAAAAUCAUAAUCUCAGGAAUCAGGUGUUCCAUGUGGGAAUAUAUCUUCCCAAAUGGUAGGGCACCUUUUACCCCUUCCCCAUGCAGCAUGUGGCUGCUUGCAGGUGGGGAAGGGAUUUCCACGGGCUGGGAGCCUUUUGGGGGUUCUGGAAUCUGCUGGUUUGGUUUAUUGUGUAUAGGAGUCUAGUGUGGGGCAAAGUUUUAUUAUUUUAAGGAUAAUCAGUAAUCUUCUUCAUUUUAUUUUCUGAUAAUCUAGGGGAUCCUUGGUUAAGGAUGAAUUUCUCUACACAGCUCUCUUCUGUUCCACAGGUAAAAUUUUGAUUCUGUAGACAUCUAAAUACUAAAAAAGGUACAGUCACGUCUUUACAAAACUUCAGUAUGAAGCAUUGUUAAAGUCCUUAUAUUUCCACUUAAUCCAUAUCUUGGAGUUUAUUAUGAAUACCCCAAGGUCUCAUCCAUGAAUGUCAGAACGUGUCAUCAUUCCUAAGUGAGAAGUUGACAUUUCAGAACACAUUGUGGGAUAUGCAAAGAAUUUGAUCCAUAGCAGGGGAUGGGGAUAAAAAUAAAUAAUAAAAAUAAAUAAAAAUAAAAAUCCAGGGAAGCAGUGCUGCAGAAUUUACUAAUUAAAUGUCUUGAAGUUUGGUUGGAAUGCUUACUUUCUAGAUAGCCAGUGUUUCAGAGGGAAAAAAUAUAUUUUUUUCUUUCUUGGAAAGUUUUUGGAAGAAGUAUAUGUAAGUGAGAGAAAAAAACUCAGUAAAAAAGGUUUCAGCAGCAAUUUCCAGCAGCAGCCUUCCAAAGCAAACACUGACCAGACCUCCAAGUGCCUCUGGAUUGCUUCCCAAGAGUAGUUUUUGGCAGCCCAGGAGCACGCCGCACAUAGAUGUAAGCACCUCUUGUGUACAGAAAGGAUUUGCCUUCUUUGGAGCAGCAUGCUCAUGUUUACAAAGAUUUAUAAGGAUGUAAGGAACUGUAUGAAGUCAACAAAAACAAAUACUGUUCACCUUGAAUUGCAGUAGAUGCCCUGCACUGCUUCCACAAGCAUUUUGGAGGCUCUUCCCAGAGGCUUUUAUAAACUGACUGUAGAUUUCCUUCUCUACCAACGAUCUGAGAGAAAUAAAACCCACACAGCACAGAACCCACACACCAGGCUUAAGACCUGUGUGCAUCCAUAUACAUUUAUCUACAUGCAAACCAUCUGGUAUCCAAUAAGGCUCUCCUUGUCUUAAGCAUUAGGUUUGCUUAUUUCCAUUUCACCUGGGGGCUCAGAUGGUGAAGGGCAAUUUGUAGGGCUGAAAGCACCCAACUGUUUCCAAGGAGGAAACUUUACAUAAUGUUGCUGUUAACUUGAAAGGUACCUAUUCAUCCUGAAAUAUGCUUGUGUGUUGCCAUGCUCAGAGCACACAGUCCUCCAUGGGCAGUACCUAUCUGACAGAUUGUACAUCAUGGCACAAGGCUUGGGUUUGGGCUGUAGCUGGCCACCGCGGCAGGGUUUUAUACAAAAGCUUGGAUCCCAAGUCAAUCUCUGUAGCAUGACAGAAGCUCCUGCCUUGUUCACUGAAGGUACUUAGCUGCAUUCACAACACUGGGAUCUCUUCAUCUACGACCAGUACAAAUUUAGGCUCUAUAUGCACCACUCCUGGCUCUCUUUUUGGAAGUAACAGACUUCCUUUCUCAUGUCUGAGGAAAUCACAUUUGGGUAUCCCUAAUCUCAUAGAAUAGGGAGCAAAGUCCCUCCUGCAAGGCAGAGAUAGCAGCAUACUUUUCACGCUGACAACAUUCAUGCUCGCCUGGAGUGGUAAUGGAGGCCCUUGUCCCUCCCAUCAUCCUACAUUAGUGAAAUACAAGGGCAAAUGCAAGUAUAUUGCCUGUUUUCUGGAUUCUCUGCAAGCUCAGUCAUCAGCUACACUCAGGCAGAAUUGUUUUAUGAUGCUGAGACUCUGAAAUACUCACAUGCCUCCAGGAGCCAGCUCCUAAGGAAUAGAUAAAAAGCCCUGAGAUCUUAAUCUGGCCCUGAUACCAUGAAGGUCUCACCAUGACAAAAGCAUCAGUCAGUGUCAAUCUCUGGCAGCAAAAUGUUAAUAGACUAGCCCUAGCAAGGGACACCAGAUGGGAGAUUCCAUGAGCCAGAGUUUGUGCAGAGGAGACGGGCUGCUUUCCACAGGUACUUACUUUCUUGGAGCAAUGGUGUUACCAUGGAUUGAUAUUGGUGGUGAGCUAUUGUAAUAAAAUGAUUGUGUAGCAGGGGAAUGAUUUCUCUAUUUUUAUUUCCUGCAAAGAGUGGGAAAAGCUUUAUAAAUAAUUCUGGCUUUGUCAAUUUAAGAUAUGAAUUAAAAAUUACUAUAUAUGU